rnacentral:rRNA from 1 species
UAGUUAUGUUCUUUAAAAUUAAAAAAUUUGGCGGUAUUUUAGUCUGUUCAGAGGAACCUGUUUUUUAAUUGAUAAUCCACGAUGAUUUUUACCUUUAUUUUUAAUUUAUAUAUCGUUGUUAUUAAAAAUUUUUGGAGGAUAAGAAUUUUUAAUAUUUAUUAUUUUAUUUUAAUUCAGAUCAAGGUGUAGUUUAUAUAAUGGAUAAAAUGGGUUACAAUAUAUUUAUAUUUGGAUUUAAGUUUUUUAAUUUUAAUGAAAUUGGAUUUGAAAGUAAAUUGUUUAUCUA